AUUGAACGCUGGCGGCAUGCUUUACACAUGCAAGUCGAACGGCAGCGCGGUCUUCGGCCUGGCUGCGAGUGGCGAACGGGUGAGUAAUGCAUCGGAACGUCCCCCGUUGUGGGUGAUAGUCCGGCGAAAGCCGGAUUAAUACCGCAUACUACCUGCUGGUGAAAGCGGGGGAGCGUAAGGCCUUGCGCUCUUUGAGCGGUCGAUGUCGGGUUAGAUAGUUGGUGGGGUAAAGGCUUACCAAGGCGACGAUCCGUAGCUGGUCUGAGAGGACGAGCAGCCACACUGGAACUGAGACACGGCCCAGACUCCUACGGGAGGCAGCAGUGGGGAAUGUUGGACAAUGGGGGCAACCAUGAUCCAGCCAUGCCGCGUGCGGGAAGAAGGCCUUCGGGUUGUAAACCGCUUUUGUUGGGGAAGAAAUGCUCUGGGCUAAUACCACGGGGGGAUGACGGUACCGGAAGAAUAAGCACCGGCUAACUACGUG
rnacentral:rRNA from 1 species